rnacentral:rRNA from 1 species
AGUGAACGCUGGCGGUAGGCCUAACACAUGCAAGUCGAACGGCCGCACAGUAAGAGCUUGCCCUUACGGGUGGCGAGUGGCGGACGGGUGAGGAAUACAUCGGCAUCUACUUUUUCGUGGGGGAUAACGUAGGGAAACUUCCGCUAAUACCGCAUACGACCUACGGGUGAAAGCAGGGGAUCUUCGGACCUUGCGCGUUUGAAUGAGACGAUGUCGGAUUAGCUAGUUGGCGGGGUAAAGGCCCACCAAGGCGACGAUCCGUAGCUGGUCUGAGAGGAUGAUCAGCCACACUGGAACUGAGACACGGUCCAGACUCCUACGGGAGGCAGCAGUGGGGAAUAUUGGACAAUGGGCGCAAGCCUGAUCCAGCCAUACCGCGUGGGUGAAGAAGGCCUUCGGGUUGUAAAGCCCUUUUGUUGGGAAAGAAAAGCAGCAUGUUAAUACCCCGCUGUUCUGACGGUACCCAAAGAGAAAGCACCGGCUAACUUCGUG